rnacentral:lncRNA from 1 species
AAGGGUGAGUUUUGGAACGGGGAGUGUUCGGAGCCACAGCCACAUUUUUUCUGUAGGCUUUUCAUGUGUAGCUGUAGAUUUGGGCCCUCUGCGCACGGAGCGUAUCGUCAUAGACGCAUACAAGAUUCGACUCACAGUUGACAAUACACGUACGCCUGCACUUCCACACACGACGCGUACUAAAAGCGUACAGAUUUCGUUCAUUCAAGAUGGCGUCCAGGAGUGAUGAUGAUGUUAUAUUUUAUUAUUUUUGUCGUAGCCGGAAAAGGAGGAAAGUAACACGAUUUUGGGUUCAUCCUUACGUUGAAAGAAAUGUAAAUAAUAGAUUGUUUAUUGCUGCUAGGGAAUUAUCGGAAGAUGACGCAAAAUUUCAAACAUUUUAUAGAAUGACUAAAAAUACAUUUCGAGAACUU